rnacentral:rRNA from 1 species
ACGCUCGACACCUACGGGAGUCAGCAGCAGGGAAUCUUCCACAAUGGACGCAAGUCUGAUGGAGCAACGCCGCGUGAGUGAAGAAGGUCUUCGGAUCGUAAAACUCUGUUGUUAGAGAAGAACACGAGUGAGAGUAACUGUUCAUUCGAUGACGGUAUCUAACCAGCAAGUCACGGCUAACUACGUGCCAGCAGCCGCGGUAAUCUGAGCGGGCUGGCAAGGC